GAUGAACGCUGGCGGCGUGCCUAAUACAUGCAAGUCGAGCGAACGGACGAGAAGCUUGUUUCUCUGAUGUUAGCGGCGGACGGGUGAGUAACACGUGGAUAACCUACCUAUAAGACUGGGAUAACUUCGGGAAACCGUAGCUAAUACCGGAUAAUAUUUUGAACCGCAUGGUUCAAAAGUGAAAGACGGUCUUGCUGUCACUUAUAGAUGGAUCCGCGCUGCAUUAGCUAGUUGGUAAGGUAACGGCUUACCAAGGCAACGAUGCAUAGCCGACCUGAGAGGGUGAUCGGCCACACUGGAACUGAGACACGGUCCAGACUCCUACGGGAGGCAGCAGUAGGGAAUCUUCCGCAAUGGGCGAAAGCCUGACGGAGCAACGCCGCGUGAGUGAUGAAGGUCUUCGGAUCGUAAAACUCUGUUAUUAGGGAAGAACAUAUGUGUAGGUAACUGUGCACAUCUUGACGGUACCUAAUCAGAAAGCCACGGCUAACUACGUG
rnacentral:rRNA from 1 species